rnacentral:misc_RNA from 1 species
GAUGAAGAACGUAGUGAAAUGCGAUAAGUAGUGUGAAUUGCAGAAUUCAGUGAAUCAUCGAAUCUUUGAACGCACAUUGCGCCCCAUAGUAUUCCGUGGGGCAUGCCUGUUCGAGCGUCAUUUACCCCCUCAAGCUCCGCUUGGUGUUGGGCGUCUGUCCCGCUUCGCGCGCGGACUCGCCCCAAAGGUAUUGGCAGCGGUCGUGCCAGCUUCUCGCGCAGCACAUUGCGCUUCUCGAGGCACCGGUGGGCCCGCGUCCAUCAAGCUCACCCCCCCAGUUUGACCUCGGAUCAGGUAGGGAUACCCGCUGAACUUAAGCAUAUCAAUAAGCGGAGGA